UCGUACAAAAUGUGAGGGGCAUGUGAGGGCUGUCGCUGACUCAAUGUCGUGCACGCCCGAGCGUGUCCUCUCACAUAAUAAUCCAUCUCACCCUUUGUGCAUCGCCGCGUGGGUCCGCCUUUGCGGGAGGGCCCACGUUUUCACAUAAAACUUGAUACAGUCUAGAAUGUUUAUUUUUGCGGUAACACGCAAUCAAUA
rnacentral:misc_RNA from 1 species